rnacentral:rRNA from 1 species
GAAUGAACGCUGGCGGCGUGCUUAACACAUGCAAGUCGAGCGAGGCCUGGGGGGGCAACUCCCAGAGUCGAGCGGCGGACGGGUGAGUAACACGUGGGUAACCUGCCCGGAAGUGGGGAAUACCUCGGGGAAACUCGAGCUAAUACCGCAUGACAUCUCCGGGACGAAAGUCCUGGCGAUCAAAGCGGGGUCGCAAGAUCUCGCGCUACCGGAUGGGCCCGCGCCCGAUUAGCUAGUUGGGAGGUAACGGCUCACCAAGGCUUCGAUCGGUAACCGGCCUGAGAGGGCGAUCGGUCACACCGGAACUGAGACACGGUCCGGACUCCUACGGGAGGCAGCAGUGGGGAAUCUUGCGCAAUGGGCGAAAGCCUGACGCAGCAACGCCGCGUGGAGGAUGAAGGCCC